CAUUGUCUUCUUUGUGUCAGGACCAUUAAUUUAUCCAUCAUGAGAGGACACGAUGCUGGUAAUGAGCAGCCGUUCCCCGGGAUUAUCAAAUACUUCAGUUUAUACACAGAAGCUGGAAGGAAACGUUGUCUCGCGGUUACAUUUGCCAGCAUUGCAGGCAUCUUUCUUUUCUUUGCAAACAAGCCCAAGAAACAACCUGCUGUCACAGAACAGUAGCUACAAAGCAAGUUUCUGUUCGAGCGAUGUUUCCAUCAGUUAGGAGUGGAGAGAGCAGCUGGACAUGCUUGUGUUAUAAAUUU